GUGGUAUCAAAGACAUCCGAUAAAAUUGGAACAAUACAGAGAAGAUUAGCAUGGCUCCAGCGCAAGGAUGAUAUAUAUAAAUUGAGAAAUAGUAUCAGAGCAG